rnacentral:rRNA from 1 species
CUACCAUGCAAGUCGAGCGGUAGCACAGAGAGCUUGCUCUCGGGUGACGAGCGGCGGACGGGUGAGUAAUGUCUGGGAAACUGCCUGAUGGAGGGGGAUAACUACUGGAAACGGUAGCUAAUACCGCAUAACGUCGCAAGACCAAAGUGGGGGACCUUCGGGCCUCAUGCCAUCAGAUGUGCCCAGAUGGGAUUAGCUAGUAGGUGGGGUAACGGCUCACCUAGGCGACGAUCCCUAGCUGGUCUGAGAGGAUGACCAGCCACACUGGAACUGAGACACGGUCCAGACUCCUACGGGAGGCAGCAGUGGGGAAUAUUGCACAAUGGGCGCAAGCCUGAUGCAGCCAUGCCGCGUGUAUGAAGAAGGCCUUCGGGUUGUAAAGUACUUUCAGCGGGGAGGAAGGCGAUAAGGUUAAUAACCUUGUCGAUUGACGUUACCCGCAGAAGAAGCACCGGCUAACUCCGUGCCAGCAGCCGCGGUAAUACGGAGGGUGCAAGCGUUAAUCGGAAUUACUGGGCGUAAAGCGCACGCAGGCGGUCUGUCAAGUCGGAUGUGAAAUCCCCGGGCUCAACCUGGGAACUGCAUUCGAAACUGGCAGGCUAGAGUCUUGUAGAGGGGGGUAGAAUUCCAGGUGUAGCGGUGAAAUGCGUAGAGAUCUGGAGGAAUACCGGUGGCGAAGGCGGCCCCCUGGACAAAGACUGACGCUCAGGUGCGAAAGCGUGGGGAGCAAACAGGAUUAGAUACCCUGGUAGUCCACGCCGUAAACGAUGUCGAUUUGGAGGUUGUGCCCUUGAGGCGUGGCUUCCGGAGCUAACGCGUUAAAUCGACCGCCUGGGGAGUACGGCCGCAAGGUUAAAACUCAAAUGAAUUGACGGGGGCCCGCACAAGCGGUGGAGCAUGUGGUUUAAUUCGAUGCAACGCGAAGAACCUUACCUGGUCUUGACAUCCACAGAACUUACCAGAGAUGGCUUGGUGCCUUCGGGAACUGUGAGACAGGUGCUGCAUGGCUGUCGUCAGCUCGUGUUGUGAAAUGUUGGGUUAAGUCCCGCAACGAGCGCAACCCUUAUCCUUUGUUGCCAGCGGUUCGGCCGGGAACUCAAAGGAGACUGCCAGUGAUAAACUGGAGGAAGGUGGGGAUGACGUCAAGUCAUCAUGGCCCUUACGACCAGGGCUACACACGUGCUACAAUGGCAUAUACAAAGAGAAGCGACCUCGCGAGAGCAAGCGGACCUCAUAAAGUAUGUCGUAGUCCGGAUUGGAGUCUGCAACUCGACUCCAUGAAGUCGGAAUCGCUAGUAAUCGUAGAUCAGAAUGCUACGGUGAAUACGUUCCCGGGCCUUGUACACACCGCCCGUCACACCAUGGGAGUGGGUUGCAAAAGAAGUAGGUAGCUUAACCUUCGGGAGGGCGCUACCA